rnacentral:rRNA from 1 species
UACGGAGGAUGCGAGCGUUAUCCGGAUUUAUUGGGUUUAAAGGGUGCGUAGGCGGGCUUUUAAGUCAGCGGUAAAAAUUCGGGGCUCAACCCCGUCCGGCCGUUGAAACUGGGGGCCUUGAGUGGGCGAGAAGAAGGCGGAAUGCGUGGUGUGGCGGUGAAAUGCAUAGAUAUCACGCAGAACCCCGAUUGCGAAGGCAGCCUUCCGGCGCCCUACUGACGCUGAGGCACGAAAGUGCGGGGAUCGAACAGG